GUGUGGAGUCAGACUGCAGCACCAGAGCAGUUGCUUGGGAAUAAUUGGGGCCUACGGCUCUCUGCCGGCAACCCUUUUAACGGCGAGCGACACGG